rnacentral:rRNA from 1 species
AUGGAGGAGCAGCUAGAAGGAGAGGAGAAUGAGUGGAACUUUGAUUCAUCUGAUGAGGAUUACUCCUAUGGUGAGGAUUCUGAUGGAGAGCCAGAGAGGAUGAAGAGCCAGUUUCCUAGAUUCAACAAUGACAGUGAAAUUCCAAACUUUGAGUUGUCAAUGGUCUUCAGAAGUAAGAACCAGCUAGUCAAAGCUUUGAAGAGAUAUGGGCUAGUGACAAAAAGAAGCAUUGUGUUCCAAAAGUCAGAGAUAAAUAGAGUUAGAGCCAAGUGUGGAUGGCAUGGAUGCCCUUGGAUGAUAUAUGCAGCAAAAACCAGCAGGACAAGCAGAUUCGAAGUCAUCACAUAUAAUGAUGAACAUCACUGUGCCCAAAACAGAGAGAAUAGGCUAGUGACUGCAAAGGUUAUUGCACAAAGGUAUGAGCACUUCAUUCUUGCAGAUCCAAUGUGGAAGAUAGAGAGUAUGAAAGCAACAGUAUUGCAAGAUAUGUUUGCAGAUGUGUCCACCUCAAAGUGCAAGCAUGCAAAGAAGCUUGUGAUGGAUAAAUUGCUAGAUGGCAUGAAG